CCCUUAGAUGUUCUGGACCGCACGCGCGCUACACUGACGAAGUCAGCGAGCAUGUCCUACGCCGACAGGUGCGGGGAAUCUUGUCAAACUUCGUCGUGAUGGGGAUUGAUUUUUGAAAUUCUUGAUCAUAAACGAGGAAUUCCUAGUAAGCGCAAGUCAGCAGCUUGCGUUGAUUACGUCCCUGCCCUUUGUACACACCGCCCGUCGCUACUACCGAUUGAAUGGUUUAGUGAGAUCUUCGGAUUGGCGCCACUGCAGCUCAGCAAUGGGCUUGGUGGAUGCCGAAAAGUUGAUCGAACUUGAUCAUUUAGAGGAAGUAAAAGUCGUAACA
rnacentral:rRNA from 1 species